rnacentral:tRNA from 1 species
GGUUAUGGCUCAGUGGUAGAGUGCUUGCCUUGCAUGUGUGAGGCACUGCAUUCAAUUCUCAGUACCA